GGGGGUGUUAGGGCACGACACCGGAGAGGGAGCCUGAGAACGGCUACCACAUCCAAGGAUGGCAGCAGGCGCGCAAAUUACCCAAUCCCGACACGGGGAGGUAGUGACAAUAAAUAACAAUACGGGGUUCUUUCGGAUUUCGUAAUUGGAAUGAGUACACUUUUUAAAUCYCUUAACGAGGAACAAUUGGAGGGCAAGUCUGGUGCCAGCAGCCGCGGUAAUUCCAGCUCCAAUAGCGUAUAUUAAAGUUGUUGCAGUUAAAAAGCUCGUAGUUGAAUUUCGGGACCAUCAUGUCGGUCGUGCCUCGGUACGUACUGGCAUUGUUGGUUUCUCCCUUCUGACGAACCAUGAUGUCAUUUAUUUGGUGUUGUGGGAAAUCAGGACUGUUACUUUGAAAAAAUUAGAGUGUUUAAAGCAGGCUCACGCUUGAAUACAUUAGCAUGGAAUAAUGAAAUAGGACGUUUGAUUCUAUUUUGUUGGUCUCUAGGAUCGACGUAAUGAUUAAUAGGGAUAGUUGGGGGCAUUAGUAUUCAUUGUCAGAGGUGAAAUUCUUGGAUUUAUUGAAGACUAACUACUGCGAAAGCAUUUGCC
rnacentral:rRNA from 1 species